GGCCGUGUGGCCUAACGGAUAAGGCGCCUCACUUCGGAUGAGGAGACUCGGGGUUCAAGUCCUCGCAUGGUCA